rnacentral:lncRNA from 1 species
GCAGUUUCUGCUUUCUUGUUGGCUUGGCGGUGCUUUCCUUCCUCUGUGGAGAGAAGACAGAAAAGGGAUGUUUCCCCGCUUUCCGUCCGUCGUGUAUUCCCCCUUAUGUCUUCUGUAAGAACGAGAGGGAUGGGCUCCCCGCUAACACUUUUUCAGAUAUUCCCCCUUCCAAGGACGCUUUCUCGAGCCUUUUUCCCUCAUCCCUUUUGGUUUGGGGACGACAAGUACUUCGUCUCGAGUAGGACACCGGUGAUCUCUACAUUCACCUAUGUAAUUUCGAAAUCUGCUUUCAAGCAGCUCCGUUUUCUAAGGGAGAGUGGACUAAAAAAAGGAGAAGCGUCAUGCGUCAU